rnacentral:tRNA from 1 species
GCGUAUGUACACUCACGGUUACGCCAGCCUUCCAAGCUGGCCACGUGGGUUCGAUUCCCAUCGCCCGCU